rnacentral:lncRNA from 7 species
AUGAAGGUUUUGUAGGCUCUUUGCAACCUGAAGCUGGGGAGACUUAGCUGACAGCUAAUGUUUGUGGAAAUGCUCCAUGGAUCAGAUCCAGAAACAUGGUGGAGGGAGUGCUAUCAUUUUCUUCUGGACCUCAUCUAAAACCAGAGGUCAAGUCACCAGCUGGGACUGCAGAACCUUCCCUGCCACUGUGCAGCUAUCCAGCACAAACUUACAGCCCCUAUCCAGAUAUCUGUGAAGACAUCUGAAAAUACAGUGCUUGAACAUCUAUGCUGCAGUAAAAUCCAGCUCUUCCUGAGCAUCUGUGCCUGGAUGGAAACCCGAUAGGAGUUGUCAUAGCAUGGACUGUGAUGAGCUGACACUGCACUGCCAUUUGCAAGCGGUGCCCAACGAAACAAAAAGCUCUUCCCUUGUCCCCUGUCAUCACCUCUGUCACAUCAAACUGCUGAGACCAACCCUUGUCUCUCUCUCUGAAAUAUAUUAACCUUGUCUCUCUCUUGUGUCACUGCUCUAAUUGAGACUUAAUGUAUUUACCUCUGUUUUUGCCACCCUCCCGCUCCCUGUUACUCAUUCUGUGUUGUGUCAGCAUCCCUAAGCACGUGCCCCCUCCUACAUGUCACACAGGCAGAGUGCCGCUGGUCAGACCUGACAUUUGUUCAGGGCGUUCUGCAUCAUCAACAUAGUGCAUCCAUCCUGCCCUCCAUAGAGCAGCUUUCUCACUGGCAGAACUCGCUGCAGAAGUCUCGUUUUUAAAGAGAUGGCUUAAGCGCACAUGUUAAUUGCAAGAUUUAAUUAUGCAGCAGAGAAGUUGUGAAUUUUUCCUCCUAAUUAACAAGGGAAAACUUGGCAUGAGAGAAAGGGUAUAAUGGGGAAACGCCUUUUGCAUUUCAUCCUUAACAGUUCUGGCACGUGGUUAUGGCAGUGGUGCAUGCCCUGCCUCAGUGAAUUCUCUGGAUGGGGCUGGAUUAGGUGCUGCUGGAGGCCAGAAUUCUACAUCAGACACUUGCAAGAAAAGCUGAGGUGAAGGAGCUGGAGGGAAGCAGGGAAUUGCACCAUAAGAAAUGUUUACAAUUCCAGAGAGCUUCUUCUCACUGACAGAUCGACCUGCAGCAAGCAGGGUGAGCCCAGACCCAUUU